rnacentral:rRNA from 1 species
CGCCUACGGGUGGCUGCAGUGGGGGAUAUUGCGCAAUGGGGGAAACCCUGACGCAGCGACGCCGCGUGAAGGAUGAAGGUUUUCGGAUCGUAAACUUCUUUGACCGGGGACGAAGAAAUGACGGUACCCGGGGAACAAGCCACGGCUAACUACGUGCCAGCAGCCGCGGUAAUACGUAGGUGGCGAGCGUUGUCCGGAUUUACUGGGUGUAAAGGGCGCGUAGGCGGGGCGGCAAGUCCGAUGUGAAAUCCCGCGGCUCAACCGUGGAACCGCAUCGGAAACUGUCGUCCUUGAGUAUCGGAGGGGAAAGCGGAAUUCCUAGUGUAGCGGUGAAAUGCGUAGAUAUUAGGAGGAACACCGGUGGCGAAGGCGGCUUUCUGGCCGAAAACUGACGCUGAGGCGCGAAAGCGUGGGGAGCAAACAGGAUUAGAUACCCGUGUAGUCCGA